AACGAACGCUGGCGGCAGGCCUAACACAUGCAAGUCGAGCGAAGCCUUCGGGCUUAGCGGCGGACGGGUGAGUAAUGCUUAGGAAUCUGCCUAUUAGUGGGGGACAACGUUUCGAAAGGAACGCUAAUACCGCAUACGCCCUACGGGGAAAGCAGGGGAUCUUCGGACCUUGCGCUAAUAGAUGAGCCUAAGUCAGAUUAGCUAGUUGGUGGGGUAAAGGCCUACCAAGGCGACGAUCUGUAGCGGGUCUGAGAGGAUGAUCCGCCACACUGGGACUGAGACACGGCCCAGACUCCGACGGGAGGCAGCAGUGGGGAAUAUUGGACAAUGGGCGGAAGCCUGAUCCAGCCAUGCCGCGUGUGUGAAGAAGGCCUUUUGGUUGUAAAGCACUUUAAGUGAGGAGGAGGCUACUUAGAUUAAUACUCUAGGAUAGUGGACGUUACUCGCAGAAUAAGCACCGGCUAACUCUGUGCCAGCAGCCGCGGUAACAC
rnacentral:rRNA from 1 species